GCAUAUGUAGCUCAACUGGUAAGAGCGCGAGAAUAUAACCUCAGGUUCCGGGUUCGAGUCCUGGCGUAUGCU
rnacentral:tRNA from 1 species